rnacentral:misc_RNA from 1 species
CUGCGAUGCAGAACGACCCGUGAACAUGUAAACACAACUGGGUUUUGGAGAAAUGGGCCUCGGUCUAAAUCUUAAAAACCCAUCCGAUGUCCAUUUGUGGUGCCCUUUUAGGGUAUCAUGGAUGAUUUUGUCGGACCAUAACAAACCCCGGCACGGCAUGUGCCAAGGAAAACAUAAUAUGGAAAGAUGGACUUGUCUUGUAUUGCCCCGUUUGCGGUGUGCAUUCAAGCUUUGGCCUACUUAGAACAA